UGUGUUAGCCGUUCCUAUCCCAGACGACCGCCCAGCCGCCGAAGACCUCCCUCUUCCUGAUCUGUUCCACGGUCAGCAGCUCCUGUACGCUUCCCUCUCUGUCCCUUGGAUAUUUCUGCACUACCGGCUAUAUCUCCAGCCGCGCGUCUCCCUGCUCUCUGCGUUCUUCUUCCUCCCCGUACGCGGCUCUCUCCAGCUCGCUCAGAUCUCCCAUGGCACUUGGCGUCCAAGCCCCUGGUUGAGCUCGCCCAAUCUCCCUUUUCUUCAAUCCGGGAUUGAGGUCCUUCUCUGGUCAUGCUGCGUCCAUUCUCUCUACGAUUGUCUCUGUGUCUCGGUCGAGUCCGUGCUCCUCUGCUCGGCGUCUUCCCUUCUCGCCAGUGGAGCUUCCUCCCUGUUGCGGCUCAGCCUCUAGGUUGCUUCCUCGCCGUGCCCAAGGUUCCUCCAUGGCUACGUUUCCCCGCUGUCUGCGCGCAGCCGCGUCCUCGAGUUUAGCCCAGCUUGGCAACACCAAUAGACUCCCUGGAACCAGCGCCCUGCUCCCUGUUGCCGCGAGCUCCAGCUCGGAUUCAGCCCAGCUUGCCCCUACCCAUGUCGCGCGGGUUUCUCUAACCCCGGCGUUGUCGUUUCAGUUGACCACGCCGGCUGUGAGUUGAGUUUGGUUUCGGCGGGUUACUCGGAUUACUUUCGACCGGUGUUGAGAGUUCGUCAUGUGGUGUAUGACGGGGAGAUACGUAAAAAAGGUCCUAGCCGGUUAUGGAGAAACUUGCUGAGCGUCGGAUGAAGAUGUGCGUGAAGUUCGUAUAGUAGCUGCCAAGUGCUCGACAAAUUGUCUGGAUCGGAAAAUCAUUACCAACCUCGCGGAUUCGAGUCAAAUAUUGAAAUGGUGAGCUAAUUUGCUAUUUUAUUGACUGGUUUGAUGGAUGAAUUGAUAGGUGUGUACGUCGCGAUGAAUAUCCUGCUUGUAGCUAAGCACGUAUUUAUAUAACGCUUGUAGGAAUACGGGGCUACAGGUAGCAUGACAAUUGUGUCCACGAUUGCGAAGUCGUCGUGCUGCGUAGCUAAGUUUAGGAUUAACGACAUAGGUUAUGUGAGAAGAUUAAAUCGGUGAUUUGUAUCCGAUGAAUGAUCGAAUUAAUAAUGGGAGGGUUAGGUUUAAAUAUUUAUUAUGCGAGGAAUAUAUGGAUAAACCUAUGUGAGGUAUGAUGAGUUAGUAACGCGAAAGUAGGUUAAAUUAUAUGAUUAAGUCAAUGAUAUUCCCUUUUAGUAGUUAUAUUUUUUGGUUAAUAGCUAAUUAAAUGGCAUGGUUGGAUAGUACCCGUUUCAUCGAGUAUUAAUAGCGAGAUCUCGUGUGAUGCUCGCUAGGUGCUUGGCAAAAUAUCUAAGAUAUGAAACCCUCACUGACUUGGUCGUUCUUGCUGAUAUCAAGACCGAUUCAGUUAUAGUGAGUUAUUUCCCUAUUUGAGUUAAUUAGUUUAACUAGUGGACCGAAUAGAAUAUAAGUAGGCUUGUGUGAUGAAAUGUCAUAAUCGCUUGUAAUGGUGUGAUUCGAUUAUUACUCUACCUGCUAAGUCAUAAAAUAAUGUGAUCCCGAUAUCUAGUAUUUUCAUACUAGAUUUGCGAUGUCUUACUAUAGGGGUUUAAUUCGCUAUCGCGUAAUACUAUUUAGGUUUGAAAUAUUCAUGUCUAUAUGCAUUCAUGUGCAUAAUGCAUAUCAUUCAGGUACGUUAAUUAAUUGCGUGAUGUGGAAGACGACCCAAGUCGACCCCAAGCGCGGGCUACUCCGCAUGGUGAAGCUGAAGGACGAACGCAAGGAUGGAUGACCUGACAAGUUCCAAAACAAAGAAUGGUCGUCAAGUGCUCAUCGUCUAACAACACUAACCUAGUGUUACCCAGGCAAGCCCCGGUGCAUGCAACCCCUUCCUUGUGUUUUUAAAUAAUUUUUGCACACUUUAAGUCUAGUGAAAUGUGCAUUAGGUUUAUAGGAGUUGCUUGGAAACCCUUUGAUGCAUUGCCUUCCUUGAUAUCCAUACCUUUAUAGAUACUUCCUUGUGAAGUAUCAAAAUAUGAUUUACAAAAAUGCUUAGCCCUGCUUAGAUCUUGUGGAUAGAGGUUGUCUUUUGCAUUAAUGCCUAGCUCAGGGGUUAUCCUGAGGAAAGAUGGCUUCUACCUGCAAGAAUAUUUUCAUUAAGAGCGUGGUGGGAUCUUACUGCAAAGUUCCCUUUGAUGCUCUUUUCAUCCUAAGGAACACAAACAAUCCUAAGGAUGGAAGUACUUAAAUCGGGACUUGGGCUAGGAACAGGUGAUGCUCCGCCCAAGUUAGUUAAGGAUUGGAUGUGUAUGUAGGCCUGUAUGAUCAAGGACUAUCUUAACUAGCCACAUGCCCUGGAUAUGGGACAGGGUAAGCUUGAACCCGACUAUUCCAUACAUGAAAAGACAAUCGCGCACUGGGAGUGGAGAGAUGGCGAGAGUGGCACGUACCCUCCUGGCAAAGGAUCGCCUAAAAGGGGUGGUGUGCUCUCGGGUGGCGUGGACCUGUUCAUGUAGUGGAGGAUCCGUGGGAACGGUUGACAUAUGGAAGGGUUAAGUGCUACAUAUGUCGUGUGGUUAGAGAUCCUCAGCUGAGUAAAUCGAUUCGGAUCGCCGUUAUAUCCCCGGAGAGUGGAGACUUGAUCGCUGCCCUGCAACCUAAGUCAGGAUGUGAACCUCAUGAAUAAAAAUGAUGUUGUAUUGAUGAGAUGGUAAAAUUAGACCAGAUGCAAACAGAGUCUAUUAAUAUUUAAUCUGCCACUAAAAUAUUGAAAGUAAGGACUCACUUUAGUAAGCUACUUCUGCAAAAGUAUCUAAGUUGAUUCUUGCUAAAGCCUCUCCUUGAUUCCCAAAUCCAGCAUAUCCUUGAGAGUCUUUUCUUUAGUCGGGUAAGUCUUGCUGAGUAAUUCCAUACUCAGGGUUUUAUUCCCUGUUGUUUUUCAGGUUAUAGUUUUGUGCUGCUGUUGAUGGUGUUAAGUGCCGGUGGGCUCGGCCUUCUUAUAUAAGUAUACCUCGUCUUUAUCUUCUUAUUGAGGAUGGUCACUUAAGCUAGCAUAUAUUUCAAACUUAUAAACAAUUUAUAACAGUUUAAAGUUAUUCCUUUGAAUCAUUUUUUGUAAUCACUCCGAUCAUGUACAUUAUAAAACUUGAUGUAACAUGUAAAAUUUGGUAAUAAGAUUUCCGCUGCAAAAAUAUUGGUGUGUGAUUUGUGUUUACUUAAUCCCGCGGUUCUGGUUGUAAGUGGUUUAUCCGAUGUCCUUGGGGCAAUCAGACGGAUCCUGUUAAGUUAUCUGGUGCACAUGCAUAGCAGUCUGAGGUCUUUGAGACAAGGACAG
rnacentral:lncRNA from 1 species